CCCUACGGGGUGCAGCAGGCGCUGAUAUAAUUGCAGAAGCAAAAGAAGUAUGGGACAGCUGCGAUAUGAUGAUCAAAGUAAAAGAGCCGCUGGAAUCAGAAUACAAAUAUUUCAGAAAAGAUAUGAUAAUUUAUACAUACCUUCAUCUGGCAGCAGAACGUCCCCUGACCGAUGCCAUGCUUUCUUCGGGUAUCAAGGGCGUUGCCUAUGAAACUCUCACAGAAAAGAACGGAAGCCUUCCCCUUCUGGCGCCCAUGAGCCAGAUAGCAGGCCGCCUUAGUAUCCAGGAAGCCGCCAAAUAUAUCGAAAAGACAUUCGGUGGUUCAGGUCUUCUUCUUUCCGGAGUCCCCGGCACACCGAAAGCCAAUGUCCUUAUCCUGGGCGGGAGGGC
rnacentral:rRNA from 1 species